GAUGAACGCUGGCGGCGUGCCUAAUACAUGCAAGUCGAGCGAACAGACGAGGAGCUUGCUCCUCUGACGUUAGCGGCGGACGGGUGAGUAACACGUGGAUAACCUACCUAUAAGACUGGGAUAACUUCGGGAAACCGGAGCUAAUACCGGAUAAUAUAUUGAACCGCAUGGUUCAAUAGUGAAAGACGGUUUUGCUGUCACUUAUAGAUGGAUCCGCGCCGGAUUAGCUAGUUGGUAAGGUAACGGCUUACCAAGGGAACGAUGCGUAGCCGACCUGGGAGGGGGAUCGGCCACACUGGAACUGGGCCACGGUCCAUACUCCUACGGGAGGCAGCAGUAGGGAAUCUUCCGCAGUGGGCGGAAGCCUGACGGAGCAACGCCGCGUGAGUGAUGAAGGUCUUCGGAUCGUAAAACUCUGUUAUUAGGGAAGAACAAAUUUGUGAGUAACUAUGCACGUCUUGACGGUACCUGAACAGGAAGCCCCGGCUAACUACGUG
rnacentral:rRNA from 1 species